rnacentral:rRNA from 1 species
CACGUAGGGCGCAAGCGUUGUCCGGAAUUAUUGGGCGUAAAGAGCUCGUAGGUGGUUUGCCACGUCCGCUGUGAAAUCCCAAGGCUUAACCUUGGGCUUGCAGUGGAUACGGGCAGACUAGAGGUAGGUAGGGGAGAAUGGAAUUCCCGGUGUAGCAGUGAAAUGCGUAGAUAUCGUGAGGAACACCAGAGGCGAAGGCGGUUUCCUGGACAGUUACUGACGCUCAGGCACGAAAGCAUGGGGAGCAAAAGGG